rnacentral:rRNA from 3 species
GGGUUGUGAGGUUAAGCGACUAAGCGUACACGGUGGAUGCCCUGGCAGUCAGAGGCGAUGAAGGGCGUGCUAAUCUGCGAUAAGCGCCGGUAAGGUGAUAUGAACCGUUAUAACCGGCGAUACCCGAAUGGGGAAACCCAGUGUGACUCGUC